ACAAGCCAGCCACAUCCCAGUUUUAUUCUGGUUAGAUAAUGAGAGCGGUUCCAGCGGCGGCGAUUGGGCUCGACUGUGUGAUGGUCAACGCCUUAACGGGGCAGCCGGGAUGGCGUGGUGAGCGGCGGCUGGCCUCGGUCACUGUGAUGGAUGAUCGGAAGCAUAGUUUGCGGAGGCGGCACUAUUGUGGCAAUGGCGGUCACCUCAGAUCCUCCAUGGCUGGCGCGACUCCUGUGACUUCCUCUCCCUCGGCUCGAGGCCACCACGCCAUGAGCCCAAGGGCUGACAUCGGAUUGAUUCGGGGGCGUGAGAAACUACUGCAUUGGCCUCGCGGUUCGGCCGUGUACGGUCUGGCGGCAGACGACAGCGUUGUAGCAGUAUGACGCCGGGCGGCCGGGGGACCAUUUGGAGCUGAAGCGGUGGGUUAGAGGAGUGCCAGAUUGGAUAGGAUACAUGGCCUUCAUUUUUGCAACAUGGAUUUGUUAGUGUUCGUAACUUUCCCAAUUUUCUGAUGUUGAUUUCCGAGAUCUGGAGAGUUUGAUCUAAACUAAAGAAUUAUUUACCUGGCCCAAUAAAUUCCCCGAUGCAGGGUGUAGCUCUGUUACAGAGUACCAGCUCAUACCUUAAAUACAAGUAUGUUGAUCGAA